UGUAAAUAAUAUAACCACGUGUAAAGAUUAGAGUGAAGUACACAUCUAAGAUAGUUCAUAUAAUUUUUUUGUCUGUAAUAUUUAAGAAUCAUUAUCAUUGUCUAGAUAUGAAUAAUCAGCAGUUCAAAUGCACAUGGAUGCUUUAAAUAAAAGGAUAUAAAUCACAAAGCUUCAAGUACACCUGAUAACGUUUAUUGGAAAUCUGUUAUUUGGUACGAUGCAUUGUGUGAAGUAGGUUGAGAUAUUGAAAACACAUUUUCCCGAAGAAUAUUUUACUAUCAUAUAAUAAAAAAAAAUUAUCAUAUUGAGUUAAACAUAAUAUUUAAGCUGGUUUUACACUUAACGUUUUUAAAAAAGUGUUUCAGACGCUACGCUGCUUUGCUUACACAUUAUGCAAUUAUAACGCUGCAUUUGCAACACGAGAGGAAAAAUAGUAAAAUAUUGUAAACCAUGUUUCCAACUUCUUUUUCAUUUGACUCGUGGUCAGUGAUCUUAUUUGUUAUUUUUUAAAUGUGGUGUACACUUUAUAUAAAAAUCCAUAAGCUCGGAAAAAACCAAAAGUGAAAAGAAAUAAACGUUGUUGGUGGGUACAUCCGGAAACUAGAGAAGAUAAAGAUUGUUUAUUUGGAUAAAUUUUAGCUCUUAGGACUUUGACUAUAAUUAAUUAAUUAUAGUUUUUAUUAAUUAAGACUGUACUAAAGAUGAAGAUUGCGUACAAGAAGUUUGUUGUCUAUUAUAAGAGCUAGAAGGAGGAUUGCGGGAUAUAGGAUUAUUUAAGGCUGACGACUGAAAAGAAUUAAAUUCAUUAUUGAUUCGAACGAUAAUUUAAACUUGAGAGUUUAUAGGAAGAGGAUUGGAAAAUUGCUGAAUAGAGUUAAAAAGCUAAAUAAAUAAAUCCAAAUUUAUUACUUAUACUGAGUAUACUUUGACUACAUAGGCAAUUAUCAGGGACGGACUAUACUACAGCACAUCACGAAAAUCGGACGGCUGGCAAAGUACUGAAAAGGUGCUGCGACUGUGAUUUGACAAUUUAAUUAUUUUUAUUUUUAAUCUAAUCAAUGAUUGUUUUAAAAAAAUUGUAUUUUUAUUCAUAUUGGACAACAAAAAAUGAUAUAAAUAUAUUUAUAGUAAAUUUAUUGACGAUAUAUCGUAAAAUAUUUUGUAGGCUAAAAUAAUUCAAGUUAAUUGGCUUUAUAUAUUAUAACUUUAAAAAAAUAGAGGGUUAUAAUAUUGGGACCCCCGAAAUAGUAAAAUUUGUUCAAAAAGUUAAAUUGAUGAGCAAAAAAACAUUUUUUAAGCCAGUAAACAUAGCUAUGCGGCUCGAAUCCUUCAAGUCCGAUCCUGACAAUCAUAAUAUAAUAAAAUAUAAUACCUGUAAAUAAAUCAUUUGAAACAGGUCAACUUUCAUUUCACAGUGCUGUCUGUACAAUGUACAAGAAAUAUGUUUUAACCCUUCAAACAAACGUAACACUAAGAUUUCUCCCUUUUUUAAAUUUUAAUCGCAAUUAAAAUUCUCAAUUCCAUUAAUUCUAAUUUGGAUUACGCUAUUAAUAAUAGUACCUUAGCCUACCCUGCACUUCGAAGUCUUAUGCAGUUGUAUAUGAGCCCUUCGUGACAGCUGUUUUCAAAGUAAAUAUAAAGGGUAUUUAAAAACUUAAUUAGGUUCUAAAUGUCUCCUCAUUUUGGAUAGCAAUUAUAAAUGCUUCAGUAUUAAAUGUACUAAAUAUUUUUUUAAUUUUCAAAAAAUAACAAGGAUACCUAAAAGAUCAGAAAAUGACAGAACAACAAAAAUGAUACUCGAUGCGCGGUGAAAACGCGGUCAGAAACACUGUGAAUGGUUUAAUUGAAAACCAGUUGUUCUAUUUUGGCAUCCAGACGCCCCAAAAAUCAAAUAAGAGCGUUCGAUAGCGUCGCCAGAAACGCGUGUAAGCGCUUAUAGAAAUACACGAUAGUUCAGACCAGCGUGUUUCCGACGGAUUUACAACGAUGAUUGUGACAAAAUUAAGACUCUAUCACAAAUUAUGUUAUAUAUUAUUCAUUCAUUUAGAGAUUACUUUUUAUAAUUCCCCAGCUCUGUAAUUGGGCAAUGGAAAAUUAGCUAGGCUCCAAUGUAGCUUAUUGUUUUAUUUUAUUUUAUUAUUGGCUCGUAACCUCCUCAAUACCAAGACCAGCUCUCGUUAUAACGAAAUCGUAUCCAUACAAUAUCUUAUCAGUAGAAUUAUUCGACUGAUUAAGGCCUUAAAUUAUACAGCAAAAAUUGACAGCCUAUUCGUUCUGCAGCUAACAUUUUAUAUUAUGGUAUAGUAUCAAUACAACAUUAUUGUUUAUUAUAAAUCAACGAUAUAACUCUGUUGGAUAACUUUGACGUAGGUGGGCCCAACCAUAUUAUUAGUUAAAAAGCAAUUGUGUCCAUAACUCGAUAAUAGGGUUAAUGUUACGAUUUAUGUAUAGUUAAUUUAAAUAUUUUUAAAAGAUAGUAAACGUGUUAAUAUUUAAGUUAAUGCUCUUGUUAACCGAUAGACCGGACAUCCGAUCUGCAAAUUAAAUAUUGAAUAAGCAGGUUUUCUAUUGAACACGUGGGGUGCAUAAAAAAGUGAUUACGAUAACAAAUAUGUAAAUUGUGAUAAAUUACAAGAAUCUUUUCGUUCUCAUAGAUCUGUAUGUUGAAAUCAAUGAUCUCCAAGUUAGUUUUUUUUACGUGUUUGAAUUAGGUACUCCUCCAGAUUAUAUUCGAGUAUAAUAGAAACUGAUGGUUAGUUUCAUAUGAUUUUACUUUUAUAAAAAACGUUAAUAACUUAUAACCUAUUAUAAAAUAAAACUCAAUUACAAUAAUCUAUAAACCCAUAUUAUUUUAUUAAGCCAUUUUUAUGAAAGGAAUCAUAGCCCGACAUUACAGUAUAUUUAUUGUGAAUUACACGAUUACUAUACUUGUAUAAUUGAACACUGUAUCAUUUCUAAUAAUUAAAAUUUUAUAAAUAAUGAAACCAAUUUAUACUGAAAAUUCAUAUUUUAAAAACAUAUUUUAAUUUGUAAGAUUUAGUGUUAUAAACAAAAAAAAAAUUAAGGAUUAGACUCUUAGCUAAAACUAUGGUUUAAUACACUUUUGAAAAUCAGCAAAGAAUGUGUUCAUUUUGUGAAGUAACAACAUUUUUGAGUAUAUCAUC